UACGUAGGGUGCGAGCGUUAAUCGGAAUUACUGGGCGUAAAGCGUGCGCAGGCGGUCUGUUAAGACCGAUGUGAAAUCCCCGGGCUUAACCUGGGAACUGCAUUGGUGACUGGCAGGCUUUGAGUGUGGCAGAGGGGGGUAGAAUUCCACGUGUAGCAGUGAAAUGCGUAGAGAUGUGGAGGAAUACCGAUGGCGAAGGCAGUCCCCUGGGCCAACACUGACGCUCAUGCACGAAAGCGUGGGGAGCAAACAGG
rnacentral:rRNA from 1 species